UUGAUUGAUUUGUAUUCAAUACUCGACGCAAAGAUGCAGAGUUGAUUGGCCCUCUGGGGGACGCCGGAUCCGCGGACGGCCGGGUCGCCCCCCCGAGGCAACAGAUAUGAAUCGACAAAGGGUUGGAGGUCGGGCGCGGGGCCCUCACUCGGUAAUGAUCCCUCCGCAGGUUCACCUACGGAGA
rnacentral:misc_RNA from 1 species